rnacentral:rRNA from 1 species
GUCCACGCAGUAAACGAUGAUUACUAGCUGUUUGCGAUAUACUGUAAGUGGCUAAGCGAAAGCGAUAAGUAAUCCACCUGGGGAGUACGUUCGCAAGAAUGAAACUCAAAGGAAUUGACGGGGGCCCGCACAAGCGGAGGAACAUGUGGUUUAAUUCGAUGAUACGCGAGGAACCUUACCCGGGCUUGAAAUGCAGAGGAAUAACUUGGAAACAGGUUAGUCAGCAAUGACCUCUGUGUAGGUGCUGCAUGGUU